UAUGAAGGCCAGGCUGAAGACUCUGCUUGACUAGCUGAGAGGAGGUGCAUGGCCGUCGUCAGUUCGUACUGUGAAGCAUCCUGUUAAGUCAGGCAACGAGCGAGACCCACGCCAACAGUUGCCAGCAUGUCCUCCGGGGAUGAUGGGGACACUGUUGGGACCGCCUCUGCUAAAGAGGAGGAAGGAAUGGGCAACGGUAGGUCAGCAUGCCCCGAAUUAUCCGGGCUACACGCGGGCUACAAUGGUCAGGACAAUGGGUAUCGACACCGAGAGGUGGAGGCAAUCUCCUAAACCUGUCCUUAGUUCGGAUUGUGGGCUGCAACUCGCCCACAUGAAGCUGGAAUCCGUAGUAAUCGCGUUUCAAAAUAGCGCGGUGAAUAUGUCCCUGCUCCUU
rnacentral:rRNA from 1 species